rnacentral:rRNA from 1 species
UGAACGCUGGCGGUAGGCCUAACACAUGCAAGUCGAACGGCAGCACAGUAAGAGCUUGCUCUUACGGGUGGCGAGUGGCGGACGGGUGAGGAAUACAUCGGAAUCUACUUUUUCGUGGGGGAUAACGUAGGGAAACUUACGCUAAUACCGCAUACGACCUACGGGUGAAAGCAGGGGAUCUUCGGACCUUGCGCGAUUGAAUGAGCCGAUGUCGGAUUAGCUAGUUGGCGGGGUAAAGGCCCACCAAGGCGACGAUCCGUAGCUGGUCUGAGAGGAUGAUCAGCCACACUGGAACUGAGACACGGUCCAGACUCCUACGGGAGGCAGCAGUGGGGAAUAUUGGACAAUGGGCGCAAGCCUGAUCCAGCCAUACCGCGUGGGUGAAGAAGGCCUUCGGGUUGUAAAGCCCUUUUGUUGGGAAAGAAAAGCAGCAGGUUAAUACCCCGCUGUUCUGACGGUACCCAAAGAAUAAGCACCGGCCAACUUCGUG